rnacentral:rRNA from 1 species
UACGAAGGGGGCUAGCGUUGUUCGGAUUUACUGGGCGUAAAGCGCACGUAGGCGGAUUGUUAAGUCAGGGGUGAAAUCCUGGAGCUCAACUCCAGAACUGCCUUUGAUACUGGCAAUCUUGAGUCCGGAAGAGGUGAGUGGAACUCCUAGUGUAGAGGUGGAAUUCGUAGAUAUUAGGAAGAACACCAGUGGCGAAGGCGGCUCACUGGCCCGAUACUGACGCUGAGGCACGAAAGCGUGGGGAGCAAACAGGG